rnacentral:rRNA from 1 species
GACGAACCGUGCGAACGUUAUUCGGAAUCACUGGGCUUAAAGCGCGUGUAGGCGGAUGGGAACGUCGGCUUCUGAAAGCCCCCGGCUCAACCGGGGGAAGUGGGGCCGAAACGACCCGUCUCGAGGGACGUAGGGGGAUCUGGAACUUCCGGUGGAGCGGUGAAAUGCGUUGAGAUCGGAAGGAACGCCCGUGGCGAAAGCGAGAUCCUGGACGUUUUUCUGACGCUGAGACGCGAAAGCUAGGGGAGCAAACGGG